rnacentral:rRNA from 1 species
UGAGAGGAGCUGCCCCUAGUACGAGAGGACCGGGGUGGACGGACCACUGGUGUAUCAGCUGUCGACCAACGGCAUAGCUGAGUAGCCAAGUCUGGACGGGAUAAACGCUGAAGGCAUCUAAGCGUGAAGCCCCCCUCAAGAUGAGAUAUCCCCUCCUUCAAGGAGAUAAGAUCCCUUAAAGACGAUAAGGUAGAUAGGUUCAAGGUGUAAGUGCGGUAACGCAUUCAGCUGAUGAAUACUAAUAGAUCGAAGGUUUAUUCU